rnacentral:rRNA from 1 species
CAGUAGCCGCGGUAAUACAGAGGGUGCGAGCGUUAAUCGGAUUUACUGGGCGUAAAGCGUGCGUAGGCGGCUUUUUAAGUCGGAUGUGAAAUCCCUGAGCUUAACUUAGGAAUUGCAUUCGAUACUGGGAAGCUAGAGUAUGGGAGAGGAUGGUAGAAUUCCAGGUGUAGAGGUGAAAUGCGUAGAGAUCUGGAGGAAUACCGAUGGCGAAGGCAGCCAUCUGGCCUAAUACUGACGCUGAGGUACGAAAGCAUGGGGAGCAAACAGGAUUAGAUACCCGAGUAGUCCCUGUCUCUUAUAC